rnacentral:lncRNA from 1 species
GAGCCUGGCUGAGCAAGGAAGAGGACCCAGGACUGCAGCUGCUUUGAGCCCUGGCCAGAGCCUCCAAUCAACCUUUGGUUCUGAUAAAGACAAGAAACCCAAGUACAACCUGUAGAGCCAGAGGUGGGGGCCAGGAAGCCCUGUUCUAGUCUCUCUGCACAACCUUGAGCCAUCUCAUCAUCUGCACAUCUGCCUGAACCUCAGUCUCCCACUCUGGACGUUGUCGGGGUGAUGGAGCAAGCAUUCAGUUAUUCUCUGCUGGAUUCUGAUGUGGUCUAAAGUCCACACUUUGUUGUGAAACACCGCAAUCUGUGAUGUACAGAACCUAUUACUGCGGCCACCCAGGAAUGCUGGGGGCAGGCCUUUUGAGAAGGUGAAUCAGCGUGUGUUAGCUCAGGGCAGAGGGCCUGGCGGUGAGACGUGAGAACAGCCAAUGUCAUGGCGGUGGGGGAGUGGACGUGAGCCAUCUGGGGCCCAGCAAACAGCAUGUUGAAAAAAACGAGGAACUCAAAGGCAGAUGAGCCUACCACGCUGGGAACAGUUGGGAGUACAUUGCUCAAGGUGUGUGGAGUGCAUGGAACAUGUCUGUGUGUUAGAUGGCUAUAUGUAUAUGUGGUGUGUGAUAUAUGUGUAUGUAUGUGUGUUGUAUGUAUAUGUGUAUAUGUGUAUAUAUAUAGUACAUGUGUGUGAUAUAUGUGUAUGUGUGUGUGAUAUAUGUGUAUGUAUGUGUGUUGUAUGUAUAUGUGUAUAUGUAUAUGAUCAUUAUAUAUGUGUGUGUGGUAUAUAUGUAUAGGGCGGUGUGUGUAUGUGUAUGUGUGUGUGUGUGUGUGUGUGUGUGUGUGUGUUCACCUAUGUGUACAAAUGUAGAGGUCAGAAGUCAAACAUUGGGUGUCUCCUUCUAUGGAUGAAGCCCCGGCCAGUUUUAUGUCACUGCUGGUGUGAAGCAGUGAACAGUGACCCAGCAUGCAUCCAGGUGGCGGGACAGAGUCAGACUCUCCAGGGCAGAGAGACUCUAAAACUGACGGCCAGGUCUUGCUCAGACUACGGGCCUGAGGGAAGAUCCAAGACUGAAACAGGUGCCGGAGAUUACAUCCAGGUUGCUGGUCUUGGUGGUGAACAAUACCCUUGCUUACCCCCAAGCCUUCUCACUAACCCUGACGCUCUUUAUACAGGGCUUGGAAUGGAGGGGGUGGAGUUGAGGAGAUCACAGAGGACCUAGGAGUGUGUGUAUCGGAGAGAGAUAGGAAACCACUGACCGUUCAGCACACAUUCAGAAUUACUGCCUGUCCCAGGGAGGGACCCACAGCUCCGGCGCUCCGUUCAGCAUCUGGAAGAGCAUAGCUCGCUGUGAGCGGCCGCCCCAGAAGACUGUAUCCCACCCAGCCAGCUCUCCUGCCUGCUUGCCUCUGCCCCACACCAGGACACUUCAUACUGUCAGAACCACUGGGUGUGUGAGCUUGUGAGAGGGUGUGUGGGCACACAUGUCCCUGUGUGGGGUGUGGAGGUCAGAGGGCAACUUGGAGGAAUUGGUUCUCUCCUUCCACCACUGGGGCCCAGGAAUCAAGCCGAGGUUCCCAGACGUGGUAGCAGCCUCCCUUACCUGUUAAACCAGUGCUUCCCAGACUUCCUAAUGCUGUGACCUCAUGCUGUGCUGACCCCCGCCCAUGACAUUAUCUCUGUUGGUAUUUUAUAACUGUAAUUUUGCUACUAUUAUGAAUCACAAUGUAAA